UUAUUAAUAGUUUAAGUAAAACAUUGUAUUUGUAAUACAAAUAAGUAGAAUUCUACUUAAUAAA
rnacentral:tRNA from 1 species